GGAUUAGGCAUGCAAGUCGCACGAGAAAGGUUUCUUCGGAAGCCGAGUACAGUGGCGAACGGGCGAGUAAUGCAUAGACAACUCGCCCUUGAGAUGGGGACAACGCCUCGAAAGGGGUGCUAAUACCCAAUGCCGCCUUGGGCCUGCGGGUCCAGGGUGAAAGGAGGCCUCUGAUUCAAGCUUCCGCUCAAGGAGAGGUUUAUGUCCUAUUAGCUAGUUGGCGGGGUAACGGCCCACCAAGGCUGCGAUGGGUAGCCGACCUGAGAGGGUGACCGGCCACAUUGGGACUGAGACACUGCCCAGACUCCUACGGGAGGCUGCAGUCGAGAAUCUUCCGCAAUGCGCGCAAGCGUGACGGAGCGACGCCGCGUGGGUGAUGAAGGCCUUCGGGUUGUAAAACCCUGUCAGCUACUACGAAACACGGGCGAUGAACAAUCGUCCCGUCUGACUUAAGUAGCAGAGGAAGCACCGGCUAACUACGUGCCAGCAGCCGCGGUAAUACGUAGGGUGCAAACGUUGUUCGGAAUCACUGGGCAUAAAGGGCGCGUAGGCGGUCUGAUAAGUCAGGUGUGAAAUCCCUCGGCCUAACCGAGGAACUGCAUUUGAUACUGUCGGGCUAGAGUACAGGAGGGGAGAGUGGAAUUCCUGGUGGAGCGGUGAAAUGCGUAGAUAUCAGGAGGAACGCCGGCGGCGAAAGCGACUCUCUGGCCUGUUACUGACGCUGAGGCGCGAAAGCUAGGGGAGCAAACGGGAUUAGAUACCCCGGUAGUCCUAGCCCUAAACGAUGGGCACUAAGUAGAGGGGUUUU
rnacentral:rRNA from 1 species